CGUCUCGUCAAAUUUCCGUUCGACGAUGAUCUCAAGACUGGAUCAAGGGCUCGGUGAUUGGACAGUUUGGAAUGAUGAGCCCAAGCUGCGAUGAAAGCUCCCGUUCGCUGCAAAUGGUGAGGCAUACGGAGUUGCUGCACGAGAAAAUAUUCCUUCGAAGUAGCGUCCCGCUUUGUCUGGGCUGCGCGCCAGGACCACCGCCGGUGCGUGGCCCUCCAAUGUGCUUGGCGUGCUAAUUAUUGUUGAUACGGCGUGGCUACGAGGGCGCAUGCAAUCAGGCGUAGGGAAAUUGAGCUCGCAGCUCUUUGGCUACGUACCAUGGAAUUUCUAUAUUCAAAUUUUUGUAAACAAAUGAGUUUUUUUUUUUUUAAAUUACUAAGAGGGCCAUUCUCUGCCGUCUAUCCUCCACCCACCCAAUCUUUGUCUGAGUUGGAGCUAUGGAUAAAUUGAUGCAUUGGUGGCGAAAAUGUGCAUUUAUGUAAUAAAGGCCGGAGAAAUGGUUGGGGCCUUUUGGAAUCAAACCACUGCUCUUGCGGCGAGCGAGCCAUUGAUAUGAAGAGGUCUGGUCAUGAAUGUUAGGUCAUCUGUGGUUGACGUCUGAUUUGCAAUGUAAUGGAUCUGUAAUGAAAAAAAUCUGAUCUCGAAUUAUAGAUUAUUUGUGACUGACGUAUGAUCUUGCCUACCAUGCCAAUUAGCGAUAGUCCAUAAUUAAGAUCUGAAUUAUCUUUUGUAUGCCCUAAUAUGGACUGCAAAGCAUCUUGAUUCUAAAAAUUAUUUUUUUUU